UACGGAGGAUGCAAGCGUUAUCCGGAAUGAUUGGGCGUAAAGCGUCCGCAGGUGGCUGUGUAAGUCUGCUGUUAAAGAGUCUAGCUCAACUAGAUACAAGCAGUGGAAACUACACGGCUAGAGUACGUUCGGGGCAGAGGGAAUUCCUGGUGUAGCGGUGAAAUGCGUAGAGAUCAGGAAGAACACCGGUGGCGAAGGCGACUUCCUGGCCUGUUCUUGACGCUGAGGCGCGAAAGCUAGGGUAGCAAACGGG
rnacentral:rRNA from 1 species